UCCCUGGUGGUUCAGUGGUUAAGACCCUGCAGUCCCAGUGCAGGGGCCCAGGUUCGACCCUUGGUCAAGGAA
rnacentral:tRNA from 1 species